rnacentral:tRNA from 1 species
GGGGAUGCAGCUCAGUGGCAGAGUGCUUGCCUAGCAGGCACAAAGGCCUGGGUUCAACCCCCAGUACCACUA